AGGAUACCCUCGGGAAACUGAGAAUAAUACUCCAUAGUCCCGCCGUCCUGGAACGGUGGUGGGAUGAAAGCUCCGGCGGCGUAGGAUAGCUCUGCGGCCUAUCAGGUCGUAGCGAGGGUAACGUCCUCGCUAGCCUUCGACGGGUAUGGGUGUUGGGAGACAUCGCCCAGAGAUGGAUUCUGAGACACGAAUCCAGGUCCUACGGGACGCAGCAGGCGCGAAAACUGCACAAUGUGGGAAACCACGAUGCGGGAAACCCAAGUGCCAGCACUAUGUGUUGGCUGUCCUCGACUGUUCGUAAGUCGGGAAGAAAGAGCUGGGUAAGACGGGUGCCAGCCGCCGCGUAAUACCCGCAGCUCAAGUGGUGGUCAUUAUUAUUGGGCCUAAAGCGUCCGUAGCUGGCCUGUUAGAUGCCUGGGUAAAUCGAUGCGCUCAACGUAUCGAAUUCCGGGUAGACCGGCAGGCUCGAGACCGGGAAAGGUGUAGGCUACUCGAGGGGUAGGGGUAAAAUCCUGUAAUCCUUCGGGGAGGACCAGUGGCGAAGGCGCUACACUAGAACGGCUCUGACAGUGAGGGACGAAGCCCUGGGGCGCAAACCGGAUUAGAUACCCGGGUAGUCCAGGGUGUAAACGCCGCAGACUUGGUGUCGGUGAUCCUACGAGGGUUGCCGGUGCCGUAGAGAAGUUGUUUAGUCUGCCGCCUGGGGAGUACGGUCGCAAGACUGAAACUUAAAGGAAUUGGCGGGGGAGCAA
rnacentral:rRNA from 1 species